ACUGGACUUCAGCACAGGCAUGGAGGAGCCAACCUCACAGGUACCAGCAAAGGUGCCGAGUGACUCUGCUGUAGGCACAGCCCACUCCCAGUGUGAUCCCUUAGGCUAGGAGGGAGGAAGCCCCCAACCCAGGGAGGCUGAGACAAGAGAAAAAUCACUUGCCUGCCAUGUUUGCUGGAGGGCCCGAACCUGCUGCUGCAGCUCCUCCACCUGCCUGCGCCCGGCCAGGACAGCGUCGGCCAGUUCCUGGUUCUUGGCUUCCUGUUUCCGUACUUGAUGACACAGGGUAUCCUGUUGCUUCAGGAAGUAGGGUGCCAUGACACUACACAGGUCUUUCUCUGGGAUUCCACUGGGUCGCCUGGGGGGCAGGGCACAUGGGUGGCAGGGGACAGGGGGAAGAAUCUGAGCACACAGGGGACUUCUCUCAACCAAUCAGUGAUGGUUCUGCUUCAAGUCUUGUGCUAGGCCAGGACUCUUCUGGGCUCCUUUACAUCCCCCCUGCUUGCUCCUGAUGGAAACUCCAGCUCCCUGCCCUCGGCCUCCCUGCCUAAAGGCAUCCCUCCAGGUCUCCCCUUAUAGCCGGCUCCUCCAUACUCACCCAUCCCCAGCACCUUGCCUCUGUCUUUAUGACCAUGUGUCCAGGCUGGUAAUUACCCCGAUAGACUAUAUGAGUUAGGGAGGUCAUGGGUAGAGGCAAAGUGACCUUUCCCAGACUGGUAGCUCCUCAGAGAUAGCCAAACUCUCACAGACCCUGUAAGAGCUGGUAGGUAACUAUGAUUUGCCUCAUGCUCUAGCAGGGGUGUGGUCUUGCCAGCUGGUAAACCUGCAAGUUUCUGUGAGUGUGUGACAUUUGGGAUUCUGGGGACUUUUUAGAGGAUAUAUAAAUGCUACAGCCCCAAGAGUUGGGUUGCUUCUUUGGCUAGUUGGCCGGGUGGUACUUGGAUACUGUUGGUUGUGGUUUGUCAAGCAGUCAUGUGC
rnacentral:lncRNA from 1 species